rnacentral:rRNA from 1 species
AGUGAACGCUGGCGGUAGGCCUAACACAUGCAAGUCGAACGGCAGCACAGUAAGAGCUUGCUCUUACGGGUGGCGAGUGGAGGACGGGUGAGGAAUACAUCGGAAUCUACUUUUUCGUGGGGGAAAACGUAGGGAAACUUACGCUAAUACCGCAUACGACCUACGGGUGAAAGCAGGGGAUCUUCGGACCUUGCGCGAUUGAAUGAGCCGAUGUCGGAUUAGCUAGUUGGCGGGGUAAAGGCCCACCAAGGCGACGAUCCGUAGCUGGUCUGAGAGGAUGAUCAGCCACACUGGAACUGAGACACGGUCCAGACUCCUACGGGAGGCAGCAGUGGGGAAUAUUGGACAAUGGGCGCAAGCCUGAUCCAGCCAUACCGCGUGGGUGAAGAAGGCCUUCGGGUUGUAAAGCCCUUUUGUUGGGAAAGAAAAGCAGCAGGUUAAUACCCCGCUGUUCUGACGGUACCCAAAGAAUAAGCACCGGCUAACUUCGUG